GACGAACGCUGGCGGCGUGCCUAAUACAUGCAAGUCGAACGCAGUUGCGAACGGGUGAGUAACGCGUAGGUAACUGCCUCAUAGCGGGGGAUAACUAUUGGAAACGAUAGCUAAUACCGCAUACUGUGAGAUGGACCUGCGUUGUAUUAGCUAGUUGGUGGGGUAAAGGCUCACCAAGGCGCCGAUACAUAGCCGACCUGGAAGGGUGGACGGGCAAACUGGGAAUGAGGAAAGGCCCAGAAUCCUUAGGGAGGGAGCAAGAGGGGAACUUCGGAAAAGGGGGGAAAGCUGACCGAGCAAAGCCGCGGGAGUGAAGAAGGGUUUCGGGUCGUAAAGGUCUGUUGUGAGAGAAGCGGUAACUAAAGAGGAAGCAACGGCUAACUACGUGCCAGCAGCCGCGGUAAUAC
rnacentral:rRNA from 1 species